rnacentral:lncRNA from 1 species
CAAUGUAAAGUAAAAUUCUUGGAGAUAUGUCUUUAAUGUAGUCCAGUUCCAAUCUCUAUAUUUCAAAGGAUUUGAUUGUUUGCUCCAAUUCGAUCAAAUCUUCAAUAAUUUGUUGCUCCACAAGAUGGAUCUUCAAAUAUGGGCCAACACACAUCUACAAAAUCAUUUAAGUCAGGUCCCAAGUGAUUUGGUUGAAAAGUUUUCCAAGUCCAAAUAAGAAAAAUUAUGUUGUUUGUCAAAGUGCCUGACUGCAGUGGCCACUUCUGCUAGCACUUCGACAUCACUUCAAAAACACUUGCCUCAACAAUAAAACCUCUAUCAAGGUUGAUCAAACCUUCCAUAUUUAUGACACAAAUCCAUCUUCACAAAGUAAGCUUUACUCCAUCAUGAUCUGCCCAAAUCUCAUCAAAUUGAUUGUCCUGAAUAUAAGGAUACAAAAGAUCAUAAAGUCACUCCAUAUAUAUUCUUGGAUUGCAUAUCGUAGUAUACAAGGUAAGUAGAUCACAUAAGAACUCUUUAAAAGUAAAUUUACUUAUUCAAUCUCUUGUCUAAUGGUAAACAUGAGAUUGGUUGCACAAAAUCCUUUCAAAGAGACAAUCAAAUCAUCAAAAUAUUUUAGUUAAGCAUGCCAACAAAUAAGACAAAUUGUGUGAUUGGAGCAAUGUUAACCGAAGUGAGCACUUCCAUCAACCACUUUCAAAACUUGCCUUAACAAUCUUCCCUUUGGCAUUUUUAACCGAAAAACCAUGUAGUGAAUUCUUCAAGCAAGAAAUGCAACACGAGCAUCAGCAACAAGAAGUUAAAACUCCCCCUCAAACUCAACUUAUUCUCUCCCUGUUUUUGGACAAAAAUCCAAUAAAACUUCGGGCAAUUGCAAUUGAAGAAGCAUCUUCAUAAACUGAAGUUUUAUCAAUCAUACAAAGCAAUAACAUGUAGACAGCGUCAUGAACAAACAAAACAAAUAAUAACAAGCAUGGAAAAGAAAAACUCCCCCUUAGUAAUACCAUCAGCACACUCCCCUCAAUAAAUAUAAAUUUUUAAUGUAUAUUCAAUAGUAAUAUUUAUUAAAAAUGUCAUAAAUAAAUAAAUAAAUAAAUAUAUUCAAAAAAAAUCUAGACGGUCUAUUGUAUACUUAGCACUAGUACUUAGUAGAUGUUAAUGUAUCAAUACAUGCAUUAUAAUGUCAUGGAAAGUAUACUCACAAAGAUUGAAGAAGAGAGAUGAAGAUUGCAUAAUAUUUAAAAGAUAAUAGCUGGAAGAAAAUGACAGUCUUCAUGGAAAGAAGCUGAAUAAACUUACUCUACUUGCUCUGGUCUGCUAUAUAUACACGAUAUUCAGC